GAGCGCGGGAAGCGAGCUGAAGCCCUUCGGGGUGGACGCUCGUGGAACGAGCGGCGGACGGGUGAGUAACACGUGGGCAACCUACCUGUAAGACCGGAAUAACCCCGGGAAACCGGGGCUAAUGCCGGGUAACCAAUCGGUUCUCCUGAACCGAUUGUAAAAGGAUGGCUUCUUGCUAUCGCUUACAGAUGGGCCCGCGGCGCAUUAGCUAGUUGGUAAGGUAACGGCUUACCAAGGCGACGAUGCGUAGCCGACCUGAGAGGGUGAUCGGCCACACUGGGACUGAGACACGGCCCAGACUCCUACGGGAGGCAGCAGUAGGGAAUCUUCCGCAAUGGACGAAAGUCUGACGGAGCAACGCCGCGUGAACGAUGAAGGCUUUCGGGUCGUAAAGUUCUGUUGUGAGGGAAGAACAAGGAUCGUGCGAACAGAACGGUCCCUUGACGGUACCUCACGAGGAAGCCCCGGCUAACUACGUGCCAGCAGCCGCGGUAAUACGUAGGGGGCAAGCGUUGUCCGGAAUUAUUGGGCGUAAAGCGCACGCAGGCGGUUCCUUAAGUCUGAUGUGAAAGCCCGUGGCUCAACCACGGAGGGCCAUUGGAAACUGGGGAACUUGAGAACUGAAGAGGAGAGUGGAAUUCCACGUGUAGCGGUGAAAUGCGCAGAUAUCUGA
rnacentral:rRNA from 1 species